AGACAGGGUUUCACCGUAUUAGCCAGGAUGGUCUCGAUCUCCUGACCUUGUGAUCCGCCCGUCUCGGCCUCCCAAAGUGCUGGGAUUACAGGCUUGAGCCACCGCGCCCGGCCGGAAUCUUCAUUUUAAACCAUUCAGGGUGAACUUUAUUUUAUUGAGGUUUGAGAACCACGAUAUAAAUGAACCUUUGGCUUCAAAGCACCUUGCAUUUCUGAAGCUCCUGGAGUGAGUGGAGUGACCCGGUCAUCUUUCAGACCCAGUGAGAGGAGUUAAAGGAAGGCUGGAACCCUCACCUGCUGCUUCUCCUCCUGCUUGUCAUACUCUUCAUUCCUGCCUUCUGGAGCCUGAAGACCCACCCAAUGUGGAGAAGUGGGUGGGUGCUCCCUUCACUGGCUCCAGGCUGGAGUUGGGACCCUGGAGCCCAGAAGUGCCCUCAGCCCUGGAGGUAUACAGCUGCCACCCACCACAGAGCCCGGCCAAGAGGCUGCAGCUCACGGAGCUACGGGAACCAGCAGAGCUGGUGGAGUCUGAUGGCGUGCCAGCCAGCUUCUGGGCGACAGCCCAGAACUCGGGAGGCUCAGCUUACAGUGAUGAGAGGGACCGGCCGUACGGCCUGGUGUCCAUCGAUACAGUGACUGUGCUAGAUGCAGAGGGGCCAUGCACCUGGCCCUGCAGCUGUGAGGAUGACGGCUACCCAGCCCUGGACCUGGACGCUGGCCUGGAGCCCAGCCCAGGCCUAGAGGAUCCACUCUUGGGCGCGGGAACCACAGUCCUCUCCUGCGGCUGUGUCUCAGCUGGCAGCCCUGGGCUAGGAGGGCCCCUGGGAAGCCUCCUGGACAGACUAAAGCCACCCCUUGCAGAUGGGGAGGACUGGGCUGGGGGACUGUCCUGGGGUGGCCGGUCGCCCGGAGGGGUCUCAGAGAGUGAGGCGGGCUCGCCCCCGGCUGGCCUGGAUAUGGACACGUUUGACAGUGGCUUCGUGGGCUCUGACUGCAGCAGCCCUGUGGAGUGUGACUUCACCAGCCCCGGGGACGAAGGGCCCCCCCGGAGCUACCUCCGCCAGUGGGUGGUCAUUCCCCCACCACUUUCGAGCCCUGGACCCCAGGCCAGCUAGUGAGGCUGACCAGCUGUCCAGAGGUGGCCAGGCCACUGGGCCCUGAGCCAGAGACAAGGCCACUUGAGUUAUGAUGUGAAGACACCUGCAGCCUUUGGUCUCCUGGAUGGUCCUUUGAGCCUGAUGUUUACAGUGUGUGUGUGUGCGUGUGCGUGCACGUGCAUAUGCAUGUGUGUGUGUGCAUAUGCGUGUGUGUGUGCAUAUGCGUGCAUGAGUGUGUGUGUGUGUCUUAGGUGCGCAGUGGCAUGUCCACCUGUGUGUGUGAUUGCAUGUGCCUGUGGGCCUGGAAUAAUGCCCAUGGUACUCCAUACAUUCACCUGCCCUGUACAUGUCUGGGCCCACGGAGCUCACCCAUGUGCAUGAGUGUGCACAGCAAACAUGUCUGUGGUCAACAGAUGACAACAGCCAUCUUCCCUUCUGGGGUCUUGUGUUGCAAGCUGGUCCACAGCACCUCCGGGGCUUUGUGGGAUCAGGGCAUAGUGUGAAAGAUGCUGAGUCCAGGCCUCCAGCUUCUGCCUCCAGGAGCUGCAAGAAGUCCAUGUUGUUCCUUAUCACCUGCCAGCAGGAAGGGAAAGGGGAUGGAGUGAGCCCACAGUGACCCCGGGAAUGGGAAGAUUUUGGGUGGCCCAUGGAUGAAGGUCUGAAUCCCGACUCUGAUACCUUCUGGCUGUGCUACCUGAGCCAAGUCGCCGCCCCUCUCUGGUCUAGAGUUUCCUUGUCCGGACAAUGGGGAAAGCAUGACCCACCUGGGGGAAAUUGGCGAUGUCACCCGUGUACAGUACACAGCCCAGAGCAGACCCUCAAUAAACGUCAGCUUCCUUCCUUCUGUGGCCAGAGCCGAGGCGGGCGGGGUGAGAACAUCAAUCGUCAGUGACAGCCUGGGUGCCCAAGGGGCCGUCCCACUUGCAGAGGGCCACUCAGGGGGUUUCCAGGCUUAAAAUCAGUCUGUUGCGUCUCGUGGAAACAGCUCCCCACCAACCAAGAUUUCUUUUUCUAACUUCUGCUACUAAGUUUUUAAAAAUUCCCUCUAUGUGCUCAAGAGAUAUUUGUUAAACACCAAUUACAUAGCAGGCCAAGGCUCAUGGGACCCUUCCCCCGUGGCAUUCAUGGAGGAAGGGUGCAGGCCGGAACCAUGCAGUGUGCUCCAGCCACACGUCCUGCUGGGCCCCCCACCCCGCCCCAGUUCAGUCCUGCAUCUUACUUGUUCAUCCUGGAUAACUGAAGGGAGGUCAAGUUUUUUAUCAUUGAUUUGUCAGAGAACCUGUCGAAGUGUGAAUUAAGAAGCUAAGAAAAUACUUCUUAGCAACAUUUUCUUUUUCUUUUUUUUUCUUUUGAGACAGUUUCACUCUUGUCGCCCAGGCUGGAGUGCAGUGGUGCAAUCUCAGCUCACUGCAACCUGUCUCCCCGGUUUAAGCGAUUCUCCUUCAUCAGCCCCCGAGUAGCUGGAAUUACAGGCACACACCACUACACCUGGCUAAUUUUUGUAUUUUUAGUAGAGCUGGGGCCACCCUGGCCCGGCCCCGUCUUCCCCAAAGGGCAGACUGCAGGCUGCAGGGCCAUGCUGGAGGAGCCAGCUCUGGCUCACUCGUGCUUUUGGAGCAGGGUUGCGUUGGAAGUCAGCAGAAGUUGGUCCUUCAUUUCUCAUCUGUGAAAUGGGGUGGCUGGGAGAGGUAGCUGAGAGAAUGUGUGAGAGUCCUUGGUGCCCGGCAGGAGGCUGGAAGGUUUUAGAACACUGAUGGUUAUAAGAGUGGGACUGUGAGCCUGGGAUCGAGGGGUGUGAGACUUGGAUGGGAGCACAAGAGUAGAAGCACAGCUUCUGCACAGGGGGCCGCCCUCAGCACCCCCUGCACCUGCACCCUAGGGACUCUUGGGUCCAGAUGUGCUGUGGUUUUCACACCUUCUUGGGGGCAACAGGUUCCAGGAGCCACCUGCAGGUGUCACCUCAGCUAGGCUCCCAGGAAACCAGCGCAGCUCUCCUGCACCCAGAGCUUGCUGGGUGGGGGAGGGGAACACAGAUGGCUGGGGAGGGCCUGACUGAGGCCAGACUGGGGGGCUCUGGACUGGGGCAGACGAGGUUUCUCAGGAUCCCACCUUUGAAGGGAACUCAGUCCAUAAACACAGAGGAGCAAAGUUGGAGGCCAGGUGCAGUAACUCACACCUGUGAUCCCAGUACUUUGGGAGGCCAAGGCAGGUGGAUCACUUGAGGCCAGGAGUCCAAGACCAGCCUGGGCAACAUAGCAAGGCCCCAUCUCUACAAAAAUUAUUAUUUAAAAAAAAAUUAGCCGGGCGUGGUGGUGCUUGCCUGUAGUCCCAGCUGCUCGGAACGCUAAGGUGGGAGGAUUGCUGGAGCCCAGGAGUUUGAGGCUGCAGUGAGCUGUGAUUGCACCGUUGCACUCCAGCCUGGGUCACAGAUCAAGACCCUGUCUCUUAAAAAUAAAAGUUGGAGACAAGAGCUGGCUCAUCACCUGAAAGGACGGAUUAGUAGGUAGGAGGGUGGGUGGAGGAUGGAUGAAUGUGUGGAUGGAUAGGAGGAUGGUAUUAAGUUGGUGCAAAAGUCUUUGCUGUUACUCUUAAUGGCUUUAAUAAAGAGCUUGAAGGAAGAAUGGUUGGUUGGAUAGACAGAGAUAAACGCAUACUGGAAACAAAGAUAAAGAUAAAACACAAGUCAUACCAGGCCAGCAACUCUAUUUUGUUCACUGCCUUUAGUCUCAGCCUGGCACAUAGUAGGCACUCAAUAAAGCCUGAUUUGUAGCAUUUGCUUAUUUCCAUGGUGUAAUUUCAUGCUCCUGAUUUGAGUCAAAACACAGAGUUGGGAAGAGAUAUGCACAGUCUGCUCUCUUGGCUGGUAUGAGUGAGGCCCGGCUCACUUACCGAUGGUAGCCCAAAGAGAACAUCAAGAGGGGCAGGGGGCUUCAGGGAGGAGGUGGUGUUGGUUGGACUUUGAAAAAUGAAUAGGAGGCUGGGAAUGGUGGCUCAUGACUGUAAUCCUAGCACUUUGGGAGGCCGAGGUGGGCAGACCAUUUGAGGUCAGGAGUUCGAGACCAGCCUGGGCAACAUGGUGAAACCCAGUGUCUACUAAAAGUACAAAAAUUAGCUGGGUGUGGUGGCGCAUGCCUGUAAUCCCAGCUACUCAGGGGGCUGAGGCAGGAGAAUCUGGAAGAUGGAGGUUGCAGCGAGCAGAGAUUGCACCACUGUACUCCAGCCUGGGUGACAGAGUCAGACUACAUCUCAAAAAAAAAAAGAAAAAAGAAAAAUGAAUAGGACUUGUUAGAUGUACCAGCUAUUUGGGGCAGAGGGAAGAGCCUGGACAAAGGCCUGGAGGUAUGACUAAGGAUCAGGAGCAAGUGGGACGGGUGGUUCCUUGCCCUCCAAAGACCAGGCCAGAACUGCUGACAAGCCUCACUUAAGAGGAAGGGGGACCAAUAGCAACAUCACUUUCCCAGCCGCCGCAUUCCUCACCUUGCAAGCUCUGAGGGGCAAAGUCAUCCAUUUGACAGAUGAAAUGAAGGCACACUUCAGGCUGGUCACCUGCCUGAGGUCACACACUGAAUGAGUGGUCAGAGUUGGAACCAGAACUCUGGGCUCCUGAUGCCAAUUUCAGCUCUUUUUCACCUUGCCCUGCUGGAAAGUACCUAGAUUGAGAGGUGAGGAAGGUUUAGCAGACCCCUGUGGGUGCCCGUUGCAUCUGCCUGUGCAGCAGUUUGGAGACGUGGCCAACCCCAGAUCUGCGAGUGGCUACGUGACCCAGGCCUGCCCAAUAGGAUGUUUCUUCCCUGUGGCAACAGUACAGUUUAAGGACAGACAUACCCUAGUGGUCCAUACUCUCUUUCUGCUUGGAUUACUAAGCUGUAAGGAGGGUACUGGGAGGGGCAGCUAGAAACACACAAGAAAGCAGAGCUGAGAGAUGGAG
ensembl:lincRNA